rnacentral:rRNA from 1 species
GACGAACGCUGGCGGCGUGCUUAACACAUGCAAGUCGUACGGUAAGGCCCUUUCGGGGUUACACGAGUGGCGAACGGGUGCGUAACACGGGGGUAACCUUCCCACAACAUUGUGAUAACGCUAGGAAACUGGUGCUAAUAAUGGAUAUAUGCUCCUGCUCCAUGGUGGGGGUUGGGAAGCUCCGGCGGUUUUGGGUGGACUCGCGGCCUAAUAGCUUGUUGGUGUGUUAGUGGCCUACCGAGGCGGCGACGCGUCGCUGGCCAGAGGGGGUGACCGGCCACAUUGGGACUGAGAGACGGCCCAGGCUCCGACGGGAGGCAGAAGUGGGGAAGAUUGCACAAGGGGCGCAAGCCUGAUGCAGCAGCGCCGCGUGCGGGAUGACGGCCUUCGGGUUGUAGAACGCUUUCAGCAGGGACGAAGCUUUUUGUGACGGUACCUGAAGAAGAAGCACCGGCUAACUACGUG